rnacentral:RNase_P_RNA from 2 species
AAAGCAGAUCGGAUGAUCGCGGGUCCAAAUCAAGGCCUGAGGAAAGUCCGAGCUCCACAGGGCAGGGUGCUGGAUAACGUCCAGGCAGGGUGACCUGACGGAAAGUGCCACAGAAAACAUACCGCCUCGACUUUGGUUGGGGUAAGGGUGAAAAGGCGAGGUAAGAGCUCACCGCGGUCCAGGUGACUGGAUCGGCAGGGCAAACCCCACCCGGAGCAAGACCAAAUAGGGAAGGAGAGGUGACCCGCCUCGUUAUCACUUCCGGGUAGGUCGCUCGAGGUGCGAGGUAACUCGCAUCCCAGAUAGAUGAUCAUCGGAGGGGGGCCGCUGUGCCGCCCUCUACAGAACUCGGCUUACAGAUCUGCUUUGGCG